UUCAACGGAGAGUUUGAUCCGGGCUCAGGACGAAACGCUGGCGGCCGUGCUUAACACAUGCAAGUCGAACGGUAAGGGCCUUCGGUGGUAACACGAGGCGAACGGGUGAGUAACACGUG
rnacentral:rRNA from 1 species